GAUGAACGCUGGCGGCGUGCCUAAUACAUGCAAGUCGAGCGAACAGACGAGGAGCUUGCUCCUCUGACGUUAGCGGCGGACGGGUGAGUAACACGUGGAUAACCUACCUAUAAGACUGGGAUAACUUCGGGAAACCGGAGCUAAUACCGGAUAAUCUAUUGAACCGCAUGGUUCAAUAGUGAAAGACGGUUUUGCUGGCACUUAUAGAUGGAUCCGCGCCGCAUGAGCUAGUUGGUAAGGUAACGGCUUACCAAGGCAACGAUGCGUAGCCGACCUGAGAGGGUGAUCGGCCACACUGGAACUGAGACACGGUCCAGACUCCUACGGGAGGCAGCAGUAGGGAAUCUUCCGCAAUGGGCGAAAGCCUGACGGAGCAACGCCGCGUGAGUGAUGAAGGUCUUCGGAUCGUAAAACUCUGUUAUUAGGGAAGAACAAAUGUGUAAGUAACUAUGCACGUCUUGACGGUACCUAAUCAGAAAGCCACGGCUAACUACGUG
rnacentral:rRNA from 1 species